AAUAGUUCCACAGAGCUGCCGCUGUUUGCCCUCUGAGGGUUUUAAACUGGAAUCUCCAGAACCUCUUCUAAAUCAGAGCUGGGUCAAACGAUUUCACGAAGGAUCUACAGGAAAAAAAAUGAACUCACUAAAUAAUUUUUUAUUCCAUAUCUCGUUUCUAAAACCUCAUAAUUAAGAAAGAAACUGAAGAAAAGCCACGUGAGGAUGCAGUGAGAAGUCAGCCACCUGAGCCCAGAAGAGGAUUCUCACCAGCACGCGACCAUACUGGCACCUAAUGUGGGGCUGCCAACGUCCAGAAUGAUGAGAAAUAAAUGUCUGUUGUUGAAAAG
rnacentral:lncRNA from 1 species